ACAGAGGGGGCAAGCGUUGUUCGGAAUUACUGGGCGUAAAGGGCGCGUAGGCGGCCUGCUAAGUCGAACGUGAAAUCCCUGGGCUCAACCCAGGAACUGCGUCCGAUACUGGUUGGCUUGAAUCCGGGAGAGGGAUGUGGAAUUCCAGGUGUAGCGGUGAAAUGCGUAGAUAUCGGGAGGAACACCAGUGGCGAAGGCGGCUCUCUGGGCAGAUACUGACGCUGAGACGCGAAAGCAUGGGGAGCAAACAGGA
rnacentral:rRNA from 1 species